GACGAACGCUGGCGGCAUGCCUAAUACAUGCAAGUCGAGCGAACAGAUGAAGUGCUUGCACUUCUGACGUUAGCGGCGAACGGGUGAGUAACACGUAAGGAAUCUACCUAUAAGCGGGGGAUAACAUUCGGAAACGGGUGCCAAUACCGCAUAAUAUCUUCUUCCGCAUGGAAGAAGAUUGAAAGACGGCUCUGCUGUCACUUAUAGAUGACCUCGCGGUGCAUUAGUUAGUUGGUGGGGUAACGGCCUACCAAGACGAUGAUGCAUAGCCGACCUGAGAGGGUGAUCGGCCACAUUGGGACUGAGACACGGCCCAAACUCCUACGGGAGGCAGCAGUAGGGAAUCCUCCGCAAUGGGCGAAAGCCUGACGGAGCAAUGCCGCGUGAGUGAAGAAGGCCUUCGGGUCGUAAAACUCUGUUAUAAGAGAAGAACAAAUUGUAGAGUAACUGCUACAGUCUUGACGGUAUCUUAUCAGAAAGCCACGGCUAACUACGUGCCAGCCGCCGCGGUAA
rnacentral:rRNA from 1 species